AUUGAACGCUGGCGGCAGGCCUAACACAUGCAAGUCGAGCGGAUGAAGGGAGCUUGCUCCUGGAUUCAGCGGCGGACGGGUGAGUAAUGCCUAGGAAUCUGCCUGGUAGUGGGGGAUAACGUCCGGAAACGGGCGCUAAUACCGCAUACGUCCUGAGGGAGAAAGUGGGGGAUCUUCGGACCUCACGCUACCAGAUGAGCCUAGGUCGGAUUAGCUAGUUGGUGGGGUAAAGGCCUACCAAGGCGACGAUCCGUAACUGGUCUGAGAGGAUGAUCAGUCACCCUGGAACUGAGACACGGUCCAGACUCCUACGGGAGGCAGCAGUGGGGAAUAUUGGACAAUGGGCGAAAGCCUGAUCCAGCCAUGCCGCGUGUGUGAAGAAGGUCUUCGGAUUGUAAAGCACUUUAAGUUGGGAGGAAGGGCAGUAAGUUAAUACCUUGCUGUUUUGACGUUACCAACAGAAUAAGCACCGGCUAACUUCGUG
rnacentral:rRNA from 1 species